rnacentral:misc_RNA from 1 species
UCUGCGCCCCGACCUGAGUGGAGCUCUUUUUUGUUAUUGCGAGUGCUGAAUGGUUCUAUGCAUGACUUCGCUUUCUUCGCAAUAACAAAAAAAGCGGGAACGGAGGGCGGAAAAAGGC